GAUGAACGCUAGCGGCAGGCUUAAUACAUGCAAGGCGAAGGGGCAGCAAUGUCACUGUCGUACGGGUGCGUAACGCGUAUGCAACCUACCUAUCACUGGGGGAUAGCCCCGGGGGAAACCCGGAUUAAUGCCGCAUAACACAGGGGCUCCUCAUGGAGAUAUUUGUUAAAGAUUUAUCGGUGGUAGAUGGGCAUGCGUUC
rnacentral:rRNA from 1 species